GAAAGUAAAUAAGGGCGCAUGGCGGAUGCCUUGGCUCUCGGAGGCGAUGAAGGACGUGAUAAGCUGCGAUAAGCUUUGGGGAGGUGCAAAUGACCUUUGAUCCAGAGAUUUCCGAAUGGGACAACCCAAUAUCUUGAAGAGGUAUUAUCCAACUUUGUUGGAGGCUAACGCAGGGAACUGAAACAUCUUAGUACCUGCAGGAAAAGAAAAUAAAUAAUGAUUCCCCUAGUAGUGGCGAGCGAACGGGGAUUAGCCCAAACCACCCAUGUUACGGCAUGUGUGGGGUUGUAGGACCACGCUCUCGCAAGACAGUUAUUGAGAAGAAACGACUGGAAAGUCGUGCCAUAGACGGUGAUAGCCCGGUAUUCUAAGGUAACCGAAGCGUAGUGGUAUCCUGAGUAGCGCGGAGCACGAGGAAUUCUGCGUGAACCAGCCGGGACCAUCCGGUAAGGCUAAAUACUCCCGAGAGACCGAUAGCGAACCAGUACUGUGAAGGAAAGGUGAAAAGCACUUCGAAUAGAAGAGUGAAAUAGUCCCUGAAACCAUGCGCCUACAAGCGGUCGGAGCAGCUUAAGUUGUGACGGCGUGCCUUUUGCAUAAUGAACCUACGAGUUACUUUUUCCGGCAAGGUUAAGCAUCUUGAGAUGUGGAUCCGAAGCGAAAGCGAGUCUGAACAGGGCGGAUAGUCGGAAGGAGUAGACGCGAAACCAAGUGAUCUACCCUUGGGCAGGUUGAAGGUUAGGUAACACUAACUGGAGGACCGAACCGAUAAGCGUUGAAAAGCUUCCGGAUGACCUGAGGGUGGGGGUGAAAGGCUAAUCAAACUUGGAGAUAGCUCGUACUCCCCGAAAUGCAUUUAGGUGCAGCCUUGCGGGUUACUGAUGUGAGGUAGAGCGACUGAUAAGAUGCGAGGGCUUCACCGCCUAUCAAGUCUUGAUAAACUCCGAAUGCGCAUUAGUUCUAUCUCAGGAGUGAGGGCAUGGGUGCUAAGGUCCAUGUCCUAAAGGAGAAGAAUCCAGACCAUCAGCUAAGGUCCCCAAAUAAACACUAAGUUGAACUAACGAAGUCAGAUUGCUAAGACAGCUAGGAUGUUGGCUUGGAAGCAGCCAUUCAUUUAAAGAGUGCGUAACAGCUCACUAGUCGAGGAGUUUGGCGUGGAUAAUAAUCGGGCAUUAAGUGUUUUACCGAAGCUAUGGGAUACGUAAGUAUCGGUAGGGGAGCAUUCCACUCAGCGUUGAAGGCGAAGCGUGAGCUUUACUGGAGCGUGUGGAAAAGCAAAUGUAGGUAUAAGUAACGAUAAAGGGGGUGAGAAACCCCCUCGCCGCAAGACUAAGGUUUCCUGAUCAACGCUAAUCGGAUCAGGGUUAGUCGGGUCCUAAGGCUCAGCCGAACGGUGAGGCCGAUGGCAGAACAGGUUAAUAUUCCUGUACUACCUAUAAGAGUGAUGUGGAGACGGAGGAGUGACAACGCCGCGGACUGACGGAAUAGUCCGUUAAAGGGUGUAGAUGUUGAUUAUCCCAGGCAAAUCCGGGAUAAGAGUCGAACCUGACAGUAUACCAAUUUCCCCGGAAAACGGUAAUAGUGCGUGUAAACAUACUCCCAAGAAAAUCCGCUAAACUUAAUCUUAUAGGUACCCGUACCGUAAACGGACACACGUAGUCGGGUUGAAUAUACUCAGGCGCUUGAGUGAAUCACGGUUAAGGAACUAGGCAAAUUGACCCUGUAACUUCGGGAUAAAGGGUCCCUACCCGGUGACGGGAGGGCGCAGAGAAUAGGUCCAGGCAACUGUUUAACAAAAACACAGGGCUGUGCAAAAUUGAAAGAUCACGUAUACAGCCUGACACCUGCCCGGUGCUGGAAGGUUAAGAGGAGAUGUCAUCGCAAGAGAAGCAUUGAAUUGAAGCCCCAGUAAACGGCGGCCGUAACUAUAACGGUCCUAAGGUAGCGAAAUUCCUUGUCGGGUAAGUUCCGACCUGCACGAAUGGUGUAAUGAUCUGGACGCUGUCUCAACCGUGAGCUCAGUGAAAUUGUAGUAUCGGUGAAGAUGCCGAUUACCCGCGAUGGGACGAAAAGACCCCGUGAACCUUUACUAUAGCUUAACAUUGAAUUUGGGUAAUUGAUGUGUAGGAUAGGCCGGAGACUUUGAAGCAGGCACGCCAGUGUUUGUGGAGUCGCUGUUGAAAUACGGCCCUUUGGUUAUUUGAGUUCUAACUCGCUGAUGCGAGGACACUGUUUGGUGGGUAGUUUGACUGGGGUGGUCGCCUCCAAAAGCGUAACGGAGGCUUCUA
rnacentral:rRNA from 1 species